rnacentral:rRNA from 1 species
UACAGGGGGGGCAAGCGUUGUUCGGAAUUACUGGGCGUAAAGGGCUCGUAGGCGGCCGGCUAAGUCCGACGUGAAAUCCCCAGGCUUAACCUGGGAACUGCGUCGGAUACUGGCGGGCUUGAAUCCGGGAGAGGGAUGCGGAAUUCCAGGUGUAGCGGUGAAAUUCGUAGAUAUUGGGAAGAACACCGGUGGCGAAGGCGGCUAUCUGGACCGACAUUGACGCUGAGGCGCGAAAGCGUGGGGAGCAAACAGG